GACGAACGCUGGCGGCGUGCUUAACACAUGCAAGUCGAGCGGUAAGGCCCUUUCGGGGGUACACGAGCGGCGAACGGGUGAGUAACACGUGGGUGACCUGCCCUCAGCUCUGGGAUAAGCCUGGGAAACCGGGUCUAAUACUGGAUAUGACUCCAUGACGCAUGUUGUGGGGUGGAAAGCCUUGUGCGGCUGAGGAUGGGCCCGCGGCCUAUCAGCUUGUUGGUGGGGUGAUGGCCUACCAAGGCGACGACGGGUAGCCGGCCUGAGAGGGCGACCGGCCACACUGGGACUGAGACACGGCCCAGACUCCUACGGGAGGCAGCAGUGGGGAAUCCUGCGCAAUGGGCGAAAGCCUGACGCAGCGACGCCGCGUGAGGGAUGACGGCCUCGG
rnacentral:rRNA from 1 species